CGUUAAAACUUGUUUCCUCAAUAUUUUUAAACACGUGGCAGUCUUACAUUGGUCCAGAUUAGCCCACCCAGUCAAUUGUUUAAACCCGCCCGACCCAAUAGACUGGGUGUACAAGGGCAAAUCAAAACCCCAACACUCCCGUCAGAUGGCAGCUCAGACAUUGCAGCUCCGACUACUGGGCAACACCGGCCUCAACCUUAG
rnacentral:lncRNA from 1 species